rnacentral:SRP_RNA from 1 species
GCUGGGCAUGAUGGCUCAUGCCUGUAAUCCCAGCACUUUGGGAGGCUGAGGCAGGUGGAUCACCUGAGGUCAGGAGUCCGAGACCAGCCUGACCAACAUGGAGAAACCCUGUCUCUA